AUGAUGAUGUCAGUCUUUCUAUUGCUGGUGACACUGGGGCUCCUUGUACAGGAAUCCAUGGCAGAUAUAAUCCUGACUCAGAGUCCAGCUGCUCAGGCUGUUCAGCAGGGAGACACUGUCUCUAUCAGCUGUACAGCCAGUCAGAGUAUAAGCAGCUACCUCCACUGGUACCUGCAGAAACCUGGUCAGUCUCCUAAACUUUUGAUUUAUGAUUCCACAAAUCGCCAGUCUGGGAUUCCUGAUCGAUUCAGUGGGAGUGGAUUUGGGACUCAGUUAACACUGAAAAUCACUGGAGUCCAGGCUGAAGAUGCAGGAGAUUAUUACUGUCAGCAGCGCCAAAGCUAUCCAUUCACACAGUGAUACAGAGUCAACCCCUAG